rnacentral:rRNA from 1 species
UACAGAGGGGGCAAGCGUUGUUCGGAAUUACUGGGCGUAAAGGGCGCGUAGGCGGCCAACUAAGUCAGACGUGAAAUCCCACGGCUCAACCGUGGAACUGCGUCUGAUACUGGAUGGCUUGAAUCCGGGAGAGGGAUGUGGAAUUCCAGGUGUAGCGGUGAAAUGCGUAGAUAUCUGGAGGAACACCGGUGGCGAAGGCGGCAUCCUGGACCGGUAUUGACGCUGAGGCGCGAAAGCCAGGGGAGCAAACGGG